rnacentral:rRNA from 1 species
AUGAACGCUGGCGGCGUGCCUAAUACAUGCAAGUCGAGCGGAAAGGUUCUGCACUUAUUAUUUGAGUAGGUAAGUCUUAUAGAUACUACCUAAAACGUAAUCGCUAGGCUAGUGAAUACGGUCGAAUAAUGGGUGUAGAAUACUCGAGCGGCGGACGGCUGAGUAACACGUAGGAACGUACCCCAAAGUGAGGCAUAAGCACCAGAAAUGGUGUCUAAUACCGCAUGUGCUCUAAGGAGUAAAGCUUCGGCGCUUUGGGAACGGCCUGCGCAUGAUUAGCUUGUUGGUGAGGUAAAAGCUCACCAAGGCGACGAUCAUUAGCUGGUCUGAGAGGAUGACCAGCCCAGACUGGGACUGAGAACGGCCCAGACUCCUACGGGAGGCAGCAGUAGGGAAUUUUCCACAAU